GUGGCCAAGUGGUUAGAGCAUCCACCUUGGAUGCGGGAGGUCAUGGGUUCAAUCCCCCAUCAAGUCA